rnacentral:rRNA from 1 species
GUCUACGGCCAUGCUACCCUGAACAAGCCCGAUCCCGUCUGAUCUCGGAAGCUAAGCAGGGUCGGGCCUAGUUAGUUCUUGGAUGGGAGACCACCUAGGAAGACCAGGUGCUGUAAGCG